rnacentral:rRNA from 1 species
AUUGAACGCUGGCGGCAUGCCUUACACAUGCAAGUCGAACGGCAGCAUGAUCUAGCUUGCUAGAUUGAUGGCGAGUGGCGAACGGGUGAGUAACACAUCGGAACGUGCCCUGUAGUGGGGGAUAACUAGUCGAAAGAUUAGCUAAUACCGCAUACGACCUGAGGGUGAAAGUGGGGGACCGCAAGGCCUCAUGCUAUAGGAGCGGCCGAUGUCUGAUUAGCUAGUUGGGGAGGUAAAGGCUCACCAAGGCGACGAUCAGUAGCUGGUCUGAGAGGACAAUCAGCCACACUGGGACUGAGACACGGCCCAGACUCCUACGGGAGGCAGCAGUGGGGAAUUUUGGACAAUGGGCGAAAGCCUGAUCCAGCAAUGCCGCGUGUGUGGAGAAGGCCUUCGGGUUGUAAAGCACUUUUGUCCGGAAAGAAAUGGCUCUGGUUAAUACCUGGGGUCGAUGACGGUACCGGAAGAAUAAGGACCAGCUAACUACGUGCCAGCCGCCGCAGUAA